UCUUCCCCGUGUCAUUGAUGGUCAUCCGGCAUACACAGUGAGACACCUCCCUGAGUGUUCGACCACGGGGCAGGGGUUUCCAGUACCUGGUGGACUGGGAGGGUUACGGCCCGAAGGAGAGGUGCUGGCUCCCCGCUAAAGACGUCCUGGACCCAGCCCUCAUUGGCGAUCAACCGGUUAUGUGCCCAGGUGCCCAGGUUGGAACCAACAUGUAGUAUCUCCAGCAGGAAGAGGCAAGAACCAUUCACCACCAGCUCAGGGACUAGCUACAAUAUUCACAGCCCUGUGUGACUUUUUGAAACUUAAUGUAUUUGAAUUGUUUAAAAAAAGUACAAAUAAAUGGAAAUAUAUGGUUUAAAUGUCAGUGAUAAUUCCCUAAGUGUUAAUACAUUUGUGUUUGCAUCAUUUAGCCUUUAUGUAUGUGUUAUGAAUUACCAAAGGUGUCUGACUUAAUUUUAAGUACAGUGUCACAUGAUAUAAGGCAUUUAUGUAUGUGUUAUGAAUGACCAAAUGUGUCUGACUUUAUAGUAAGUACAGUGUCAUGCAAUACAGACUCUUUAUGGAUGUUUUAUGAAUGACCAAAGGUGUCUGACUUAAUUUUAAGUACAGUGUCAUGCAAUACAGACUCUUUAUGGAUGUUUUAUGAAUGACCAAAGGUGUCUGACUUAAUUUUAAGUACAGUGUCAUGCAAUACAGACUCUUUAUGGAUGUUUUAUGAAUGACCAAAGGUGUCUGACUUAAUUUUAAGUACAGUGUCAUGCAAUACAGACUCUUUAUGGAUGUUUUA